CUAGGUAAAGGGUUUUUUGGUUCACGUUGCUAUUUUUGGGAGUUGGAAGAAGGGUGUGAACUUAAUAAUAUCAAAGACCUUAAAAUGACUAACAAAUGCCAUCAAUGAUCAAACUGAGUGUCCAAAUUUCAGUAAGAGCUUCUUUGCGAGUGGAUCACAAAGCACGCAACACUUGUCAUUUGGAAUAUGAAAUGUUGGAAAUCCCCCUUUCUAUAUAGAUCGGAAGUAAGCCAUUUUGAGAGGUUAUGCGUUAUAGUUCAUUGACACUUCUGGGAACUCCAAUGGCUUCCCAACUAGGAAGCCAAAUCACAAUUGAUCGAAGGCACCUUCCACCAACAUUUCAAUAAACUUAAGGGUUUUGAAACUUACUUCAUGGGUCCGGAAGACUGUGGUGAAAGCAUUUAGCUCCAUCCAACGUAAAAGCAACUCUUCACUUCUUCUAUACCUGAUAAACG